rnacentral:rRNA from 1 species
UACAGAGGUCCCAAGCGUUGUUCGGAUUCACUGGGCGUAAAGGGUGCGUAGGUGGCGGGGUAAGUCGGAUGUGAAAGCCCUCGGCUUAACUGAGGAAGUGCAUCCGAAACUGGCAGGCUAGAGUACUAAAGAGGGUCGCGGAAUUCCCGGUGUAGAGGUGAAAUUCGUAGAUAUCGGGAGGAACACCGGUGGCGAAGGCGGUUCUCUGGGCCUUACCUGACGCUGAGGAGCGAAAGCGUGGGGAGCGAACAGG